rnacentral:lncRNA from 1 species
ACUAUCGGAUGCAAGAAGUUGUUCUAAGCAGCACAAUAUAUAGUUUGUGCAUUGGUUUCUAAGGAUGGUGGUUUUUACCUUGAGUACAGCUUAAUUAUGUAGAGAGAAGCUUUAGAUGCUGCUAAACCAUCUUGAAGUAGGCAACACCCCCGUAACAGAACCUUUUUCUUUCCUUUUUUUUCCCUUUAAGCCUAGAGCCAGGGGGGAAGAGAGCAUGUACAGAAGAAACUCUGCCUUUCCAGGCUUUUGAGUAAAGAACUUCAGUCCAGAAUGGUCGGAGACAGUUGUGUUUUGUUCUCUCUCUGGUGCAAAAUAUACUGAGCGGCUUUAGGCGGCUGAAAUCUUGCUCGGAGACCGUAAAAUGUAAGCUUAGCUUCCUUGAUGGUACCAGAAUCCAUGUUUAAAUAUUCACAGUCCUAUAUGUAUAUACCAUACUUGCUGUGUACGAAGUCAAGGAUGGGGAAUUGGUGCUUCUAAUUUUAGCUUGACAUCAAAAUGUAAAAUAGCACAUUUAAUUCCAAAAUGGGGAUAAUUCCGGAUAUUAUAUUAUUCCAGCAAGCACACCUUAUCUUUACUGAAUUUAAUAUUUUUGUUUACGGCCACCCAAAAAAAAAAAAAAAAGAGAGUAGGAAAAGAAACGAUAGUUUUGUGUCUUUGUUAACAAAUCAUCCAAUGUACACUUGAUGAAAAGUAAUGUCCACAAUAGGAAGAGUUUAAGUAUUGAUCCAACAUGAGUAUAUGAAUUUUGACCUUAAAGUUUGCUAGUUUUGAUUUCUAGUUCACGCUCUUCUUACUUUGUGUUUUGAUGAUUAUUGAAUGCCAUUCAACAAGGCUCGAAAUAAAUAAAUACACCCUAGUACACUAGAUAACUAUAAAAUUCUACUUUUUUUUGUAUGUUAUUUGACAAGCAUAACGGUAUUUUAUUAUUGUUAGAUUGGUAAAAAAUUUAAAUUUAUUUGCUUAACACUAGUUAAAAAUUGAGUUUAAAUGUAUAAUUAUUUUUAAAUGAUUAUAAAUUGCACUAAUUAUUUUUGAAGGCAUCUAAUUGGAUAUCUAUUUAGACCUAUUCAAAAUUAAUGGGCGAGUUCCAGGGUGGAAAAGAAGUUAGGACGGGUUAACACAAUUGGUUAUGAUCUACACCUCUAAAUUAUUGAGUAAGGACCCGUAAAUCAUCAUUGGCUUUGGAUUCAAGCCAUGGGGGCAAACGGUAUCAUAUUGCAAUUCUGAGCACUAAAACAUUACUUACCGCACGAAACCCUGCUGAAACUGAGGGCUUUCUGUUUAAUAGCAGGGGACUGGAUGUGCUAAGCUGGGGUCCGGACUCAAGAGGCAAGUUCUCCACAAAAUCAGCUCACGAAAUGGAGUGUGAAUCGAUAUGGUGAGACGACAAAAGGGAUGAAAAAAAAGGUCCCGGAAGAUGAUUGUGCCUACUGUGGAUGGUUCGGCUUGGGAAAUUAGCAACGAAUGGGGAAAAGCGGAGGCGCCAUAUAGCCAGCAAGGAUGAGAAACGUCCAGUUUACCAGAGAGAGUACGAGGAUACACUGCAUGCAAUCAGAGAUUGUCCUUGGGUGAACAACUAUGAUGUUAGGGAGAACAAAUGGGAAAUGUUCAAGCGCCUACCGCUGGUUAGAUGGGUGGACUGAAAAUUAAAAAGGAAGAAUAAUGGAAUGCAUGGAGGAGUUUGUUUCUCCACCAGCUUAGCUAGUGGUUCAUCACGCAUAGACAACAAGGAAUUGCUUAAUGCGAUUGGAAGGGAGCAGAAACUGAGACUGCAACCAACUCGCUUCGAAAGGCAAAAUUGGCGCAUGAUGAACUUGUUAGAAUAUUUAUGUGGCCUACGUGACCACAUAUGAUAUUCAUGAAGAUAACUCCCGUUAAUUAGAAGGAUAAAUAACUAUAUGAAUAAAUAUGAAUAACUAAUUACAGAAUUCUAAUGAGAAUAGAUGACUGGAGGAAGUAGGGAGUCCCAUAUUCGUUGUAUGUGGACGCAUUAUAUGUGGUAUUUUUAUCUGAUAAUUACAGUGAUUAUUAAGCUGUAUCUUAUCAUAAUAAAGUAUCAUAUAUCUAAAGUAAUUAGAGUCUAUUACAAUUCUAUGAUGGGAGAGAUUGCGACUCUAUAAAUACUCUAGGACUCCUGGUCCCUCUCACCACUCUGACAUUCGUUAUUUUUACCCAUCACUACAAUAACAUAAUAGAGAGCCAGGCGAGGGAAGGCUAGACCGCAAAAGGUUAUAGUUUACAACCUUGGUGAUUGGAAGGCUUGCUGAAAGGGCUGUGAAAUUCUUCUCCAAAAUGUCUUCAAUAUCUCAAGGUGUGUUAAUCUAGAAUUUAUUUCUUAAUUAUAAUUUACAGACCAUACUAAAGAUCCUGCUCCUUGUGUCUAAAAGAACUCACAAAAAGGGAACAGCUGCAGAAGUAUGGACUGGAUUUACAUCAGUUGGGUUGGGAACCGCCACAACAGAUGGGUAAAGGUGAAAAGUAAACGGAGCAUCCGCGAACAAUCCAGGAGUUGCGGGUGCAGGGGGAUUAGUCAGAGACGAGAUGGGAAAUUGGAAGGGUGGUUUCUACUGUAAUUUGGGCAUUGCAAGCAACUCAGCAGCUGAGUUAUGGGCCAUUAUCCCUUGGUUGAAACUAGCCUGGCAGAAGAGUGUUGUCCUGAAAAAGACUCUGUAGCGAGCUUAUCCUUGAUAAAUGACAGUGGAAAGAGAAAAGUCCUUAUGCAAUUCUAAUCCACGGAGUAAGAGAGAAACAGGGAAUGCAGGUUGGAUGAUGCCUGGAGGGAGGGAAAUAACCGUGCAGAUGGUUUUCGGCUAAACUCAAUCCAAGCAGAGAUCCAUCCAGGCUCGUCUAUCCUUAAGGGACCCGAAACCUGCAUGUUUGCAGAUGUUGAAAUUGGGUUGCAUCCCCUCGUUUUGUCCCAUUGUAACAAGGUCAAUAGGCCUUCCAAUGGACCGCAAUAAAAAAAAAAGAAAGAAAGGGUUGCUGCAUCUACAUUGGUUCUGACGAACUCUGGUGGUGGAGUCGUCCAAUUUGCAUAUGCAUUUUCCUCGCAUUCUCGAACAGGUGAAACUAUUGCACUAUGGUCAAAAUUAUAUAUAACUCUGUAGCGUUUAAAAGACACCCUCCAUCCCCCAUAAUCAAGCCGAUGCUAUUAUUUUGAAAAACAAAAUUGAAGUUUUAAAAGUUUGUAGCUUUUAAAAUCAACGUAAUUCCUGCAUGUGUAAAUAUAUAUAUAUAUAUAUAUAUAUAUAUAUAUGUAUAUAUUAUAAUUAUACCCUUUUGCGCGUCCUUUUCUCCCAAUUCUUAGACAUAAAAUUUGAACCCCAAAUCUAUAGAUAUACCACUACUUCCUUUGAAAAAAUUAACAAUUCCACUUGAGUAGCCAUCCGAAGGUUUACCGGGCCUUUACAUUACAUCUUGUAAAAAGUGUGGGUUAAGGGGUAAUAUUGGACACAUAGUGGAUCAUAUUGUAAAAUUUCUUUUUCGGUCCUUGACAUUAACAAUAUCUUACUAUAGUCAAGUAAAAAAUUCGACAUAACAAAUUGGAUCAUUGACAUGUUAUCCGAUCUGGAUCGACAACAUAUUUCCAAUCAUUAUUAUUUUUACUCAAGAAAAUGAUGUAGAGAGUUAAUAUUUUGAGGAAGAAAAAAAAAAGAAUAAACAUGUUUUUAUUAUAUUAAAAAAAAAAGAUAUGUAUGCAUUAAGAUACACCUUCGUACCCUUACUAUGGAAAAUAACGAACAUAUCAAAACCAUACUUUAAUUUUGCUUCGUGUUACUUUUUGGGGAGCAAUGUCCGCGGACAUGGAAUCCAUACUGGAUUAACUAAAUCAAUUUUGAUCGUUCAAGUGGUGAAUAUGGACUUUUUCAAGAAUGAGGAGACUAGAAAUGAUAAUUUGCAGAAGUGAAGGACUAUAUGUGAAAUAUUUUCAAGUUAGUUUGAUUUCACUUGUAGCCCCCUUAGGCUUUUUAUCCCCCUAGAAGCCCUUGGCAUUCGUCCCUUCCGUGACUGGCUGAUUGUAUGAACAGGGACACUAACUGAUACAGAACCAAAAAAAAAAAUAUAUAUAUAUAUAUUUGUUUAUUUUUCCGCUCCUUUCUUCACGUCGAUUUCUAAUUGCUCCAAGUCAAAAAAAGUCGAACAAUCUGAACUUUAGGUCCAUUAGAUUCUCCGAUUUUGUCUUGAGUUCUCUUAGGUUAUAUUGUGUAAUAAGGAAGAAGAAGAGGGAAGAACACUGAAUCAAACGGUUCACAGAAACGGAGAUCUCAUAGUUAUUACUGUUCUUUUGCUGCUGACGGGGCCGAUCAAAAUCAAAUCUUUCUCUGGUUCAGGUCUGAUUCCAAUCCCAAUUCCACAUUUAGGCUUUUUCUUAUGGAUGAUAGAUUGAACUAAAAGUUUAUAGGCUUUAUGGGCUCUUUACCCUUUUUGCUGAUUGAUUAAAUUUACAGGCUAGUCAACAGUCGAAAUAUUUGCCUGCACUUACUGGAUUAUAUCAGUCGUUAUCGAACUUUCUAUUUUUUUCCGAAACCUUAUUGGCAGAUACGGUGCCUUUUUCUCUUUUUUAGUCUGUUGUUUUUUUCCUCAACUAAUAAUUGCUCAAUUGAGAUGAGGAAUCUUUUACGAGCUUUUCUUUUUUGUCAAACGAAAAUAAAGCCAAAAAAUGGAGAAUUUGAAUUAAUUUUAAUAGCAAAGGUGUAUGCAAGUGGGAGAAAUUGAAUCUUGGCUAAUGUUUUUAACUUUCACUAAAUUACCCACUUGAAUUUUUUUUUUUUUUGGGUUUCCUUUUGUUUUAUAGUCAUGAACCAGAUUAAUUGUUUGACAUUUUUAAAUUGAUUACUGAUUAACUUUCCAAUUCCUUUUGAACUAAAGCAUGCCAUUGACUUUGUUUUCUAAAGCUAUAAUGAAGCCAUUGACUUUGUAUGGCUUGCAGAUUUGUCAGUUUGCACGGUUUGAUGUGUAAACUGUUCAAUUUUGGAUCACUUAAUUGCUAAUGCAAUCGACUGAUGCAAAUGAAAAGGAGACGACUUUGAAACGUCGGAGAUCACUUUCUUUCGACAUGCCAGUAACUGAUCCAGCUACGGUACAGCCAUUAGAUGACUGCUUCGUUUUUGCUGUUGAAGAAAUUGUCCAAUACCCAUUGCCAGGUUUUGGAGCUCCAACAUUGGUUAGCUUCAGUCCUGAUGAUAGCUUGGUGGCAUACUUAUUUUGUCCUGAUCAAAGUUUGAACAGAAAUCUCUUUGUGUUUGAUCUGAAAAGCCGCAAGCAAGAAUUGUUUUUCAGUCCUCCAGAUGGUGGACUUGAUGAGAAUAACUUAUCUGCAGAAGAGAAGUUGAGGAGGGAGAGGUCAAGGGAACGUGGAUUGGGGGUAACUCGCUAUGAAUGGGUGAAGACAAGCUCGAAAAAGAAGGCUGUAUACCGGGCGUCUCCUUACCUCCAUGUUAUUUUCCUUUUGCAUAAAUAAGACCAUUCUCAUGGGUGAAUGCUGAAGCGAAAGCUACUCUUAUUUAUUUAUUUUUGGAAUGCUGAAGCAAAAGCUUCUCCUUUUUUAUUUUAUUUUUUGGUUUUUCUUUUCUCCAGUGGUAGGAUGUAUCGUUUUGUCAUUGAGGGACAUGACGAGAUUAACAAAGUUGCACUGGAGUGCUCUCUCCAAAUGCACAAAAAUGUGUUCGAAAAGAACCCCUUUUCCAGUCUUUUUGGAACUAUGCUGCCUUAAAAUUAUCUGUUUUCUUUGCUCUUCUUGACCUGGAAUUUUCUGUAGGAAUAAGAUGCCAAGGCAGUCUAACGAUUUUAAUUCUUUUUAAUAACUAUUCAGAUUAUUGACUUGCUAAAACUUGGGAACUAUCAUUUGCAUGGCUGCACUAUAUUUCCACUUGGUAUAGUAAAUAAUGGGUUUGCUUGGACACUGGUUUUUUUCCAAAAGUUUUUUGCUUACAUCAUCAAUAUAUUUUUCAAUCACCUUUUUAUCUUGCAUACAUCACAUCAAAAAGUGCUAUAGUAUUUUAAGAAAUUAUCCAAAAAAGUGCUACAGUAUUUGCUUGCAUAAAAAAAAUGCUUUCCAAUGGUUCAUUUACACAAGAAUCCAUUUCAUCUACUGACAUGGGCCUGUGCGCAUCUAACCUACUUCUGUUUGAUCCAUCGCAGAUAUAUAUCCAGGAUUUUCAUCUGCAGCCAGAGCUUAAGAUUCCAAGUGUAGCAUCUUCUCCAAUUAUUGAUCCACACAUCUCCCCAGAUGGACCAUGCUUGCAUAUGUCAGAGAUAGUGAGCUUCAUGUGUUAAACCUUUUAUACAACGAUUCAAAGCAGUUGACAUCCGGUGCUGAUGGAAUCAAUCUAGUAAGCAUAAAGUCCAAUAUUGUUGGUAUACUUGAGAUGGCCCCUAUGAUGAUAUAUAUGAUGUCUACAAAUUAGAGAGAUCAUUUUGACCAAUCAUAGUGUACAAAUAAGUGUAUUUUAGCAGUGCAGGUUGCCCACCAAUUGUGUUUGCAAUUUAUGACCUCUUGGAAUCGUGUUUUCAUCAUUUGAUCUUUUAGGCCAAAUUUGGCUCUCAUUUAAACUUGUUGGUCUAUUCUAAUGACAGUAAUCUGCCAACAACAACAAUUAAGUGUUAUUCCUUCAACGUUUUGUCUUAUUACGCCUGUAUUAUGGUCCAUUUGAUGGACCUUUUUUGUUGGACUGAAUUAUGUUUAAGAUGUAUGAAUAUGAUGAUCAUUUCUCGUUUGGGUUGUUUCAGAUGCAUGGUCUUGCAGAAUAUAUAGCACAGGUGAGAUAAUUCAUUCUCUUUAGAUUUUCUGAGAUUUUCAAUAGUUUAGUGCCCAUUAUGGGAGAAGAAAUAGGUUAAUGCACAGAGUUGAUUGGAACCAUCUUUCUGAUUCUAGGAGGAGAUGGAACGAAAGAAUGGUUACUGGUGGUCACUGGACAGCAAGUUCUUGGCAUUUACACAGGUUGAUUCAUCUGAGAUACCUCUUUUCAGAAUCAUGCACCAAGGUAGAAGUUCUGUUGGUUCAGACGCACAGGAGGACCAUGCUUACCCUUUUGCUGGGGGGCCCAAUGUCAAAGUGCGCAUUGGGGUGGUUUCUGUCGUUGGAGGUCCUGUGGUGUGGAUGGAUCUUCUCUGUGGAGAAAAGGUCGAAGCUGAUGGUGAUGAGGAAUAUUUAGCAAGAGUAAACUGGAUGCAUGGAAAUGUUCUUACUGCUCAGGUUUUGAGUAGAUCGCAUUCUAAGCUCAAAAUCCUCAGGUUUGACAUCAAAACAGGCUGUAGGAAAGUACUUGUGGAAGAAGAGCAUGAGACAUGGAUCACUCUGCAUGAUUGCUUCACCCUUUGGAUAAAGGACUCAAUAAAUACCAUGGGGGAUUUAUUUGGCGCGAGUGAGAAACAGGAUUUAGACACCUGUAUCUUCAUGACUCAAAUGGAGUUUGCUUGGGACCUAUAACUCAAGGAGAUUGGAUGGUUGAGCAAGUUGCUGGAGUAAAUGAGGCUGCUGGCCUCGUAUACUUUACAGGAACAUAGCUCUGUGAUGCACCAUGUGGAGAAAAUCAAGGGGAAGUUGCUGCUCGUGCAUGGUAUGAUUGAUGAAAAUGUGCAUUUUAGGCACACUGCAAGGCUUGUAAAUGCGUUGGUGGCUGCUGGUAAGCCUUAUGAGUUGUUGAUAUUUCCUGACGAGCGGCACAUGCCCCGCCGGCAUAGGGACCGUAUAUAUAUGGAAGAAAGGAUAUGGGAUUUCAUUGAGAGGAAUUUGUGAUGAAUGAACCAGUUGUGAUUCAUUGUUCCAGUUGGUUCUGUCCCUCAUCAGGUUGAGAAACUCUUGUAGUCUCAGUUUUCAUACUUUCAUCUCUUCCCGUUCUUUUUCCAUCCCCUUUUCGGGAUUCUCUGGCAAUAAAGGGAAAAAAUAAAGGGAAAAAAGGCCUUUUUUUCUUCUUUUGAUUCGCUGAACAAUUUUAGCUGUGUCCAAUACCCAGAACUUGUAAUUGAGCUUUGUAUUGGCUGCCAUGUACCAUACGUGCUCGUGUACAAAAUUUACGAGUAAACUCUGCAUUUGUUGAGAGACACCGGAAUAACAUUGCAGUUUAUUCUUUUCUUUUGUAUGAUUGUUUUUCUGCUAAUGUGUUUUGGCUAAUGCCAAUACAUUGGCCUGGGGCAUGUGGCUCACAGAACAUUUCAGCAAAUCAAGUUCAGAGGCAUAAAUAAAAUGUCGAACUAAGCACUGGUAUUUGCACUGCUGGUUACAAAUAGAUUUGUGUACUAGCAGACAAAUCACCUAAUCAGACUUUGUACUUUGAAAUAUAUGUGGAUAGGUCUCCGGAAAUCAAUGUCAAUUAAUAUCUCGUCUGGCUAAUGACUCUCCCCCAUUUCUUUUAAAAUAGUGGGCUAUUGCCUAGUGGAAAGAUUAUACCAUUCUUCUUGGCCAAGUUAAAACUCUAAGGGUGCGAUUGAUAAAAUAAAAAAUUGAAAAAUGAAAAAUGAAAUCAUUAAAUUAUUGAAUUGUAAGUAUUAAAUCUAAUACAUUUGAGUGUAUAUCACAUUUAGUGAUAAGUGAAUAGUUUAACACUUAAUUUUCGGAGCAAGUUUUGUCUAGAAAAUUCAAUACUACUUAAUUAAUUCAGAUGUUCAAUUUUUGGUUAUCAAACGGUCUGAAUAUGUUAAGAUCUGAAUCUAUUAAAUUUAAAUGCUGAAUUGGGUUAUCAAGUAGGGUUUAAAACUUAAUGGGACAAAUUUAGAAACCACAAAUUUUUGACAAUUUCUCUUAACACCCCUAAAAUUUUAAAAAUUAUGCAUACCUUCCUUGUCCAUUAAAAAUGAUAAUGCUAACCUUAAUAUUCAAAUAAAGCUCCCUUGUUUGCACUUCUUAUCCAUAAGAUGGGUUUCAUAUUCCCCUUCCCUCCCCCCUCCCCCCCCCCCCCUUAAACCUUCUUAUUCAUUUCUUUUUAUAUUUUAAAUUAAGGGUAGAAAUUGAGGCCCCAAAAACUAAAAUUGAUGCCCCCAAUUGAUUUUUGGUAUUUUAAAUUAAGGGUAGAGUUGAAAUUUCACAGUUCUCUGUUAAUAAGGAAGGUCUUUGUCCACUUCCUAUAUUAGUCCAAAAUACAAAGAAGGCUAUUUGGGUGUUUUUAAAUAAUAAGGGGGUUUUGUGACCUUUGAUAAAAUCACAAAAGGGUUUUCUGUAUUUUAUCAUUUCUUUUAUAAUUGUCCCAAAUUACUUUAUAAUGAUUUAGAAGAAUAAAUUAAACUUUUUAAAAUAAGAGCAACUUAAGAUAUUCAUUUAAGUUUUUAUCCUAUUUUAAGGUUUGAUUAUUAAAAUUGUCAAAUUAAGGGAGGUAAGUAUAAAUUUUAAAAAUUUGAGAGAGAGAUAAGUAAAAUUGUCAUAAACCACAAGGGAGAUUUUUGAAAUUAUCCCAAACUUGAUUGAGAAGCCUGGUAAGGGAUCUUUGGGAAAAAUAAUUCUUACCCAUGACGGAUGAAAGAGAAUAGACGAAGGACAAGCUUGCCGCCGGCACUAAAGGAAGGAGCGGAUGCUGGGAUCUACCAAAUCUGAAUUGCGCCUUGCCAUAAUAUAAAACUUUCCUUCUGUUCUUGAGACACAUAACUGAGCGGAAACGUGCUUUCUUUUGCCUUUGUUCCCAAGCAAUGAUACAGUUGCUACUCCUCUUAGAUCGAGGCUACAAUUGUGCAGUCAUUCCAAUUGCCAACUAAAAAUGCAAUUUCACUCCACCCAUAUUUACUAGGAGUAAUUCAAGUAUUGCAUUUUUCACAUCAGGACAUGUAUUUCAAAUGUAGUAUGUUCGAGCUCUCCACUACUAUUAAGUCCAAUAUAAAUUAUACAUCUUUGAUUGAUUCAUCAAAGAAAGUUAUGCAAAACAAGAUCUAAUGAUGACGUUUAUUUCAUCUUCUUUGGUUAUUUUUCUUUGUUCAACUUUAGGAAAGAAAUUGUUCUUGUCUCAUUUAAAAUUAAAAUAAAAUCGAAGAGAGAAGCGUUAAAAGGGGGAUAAUAUCAGAAACCUCCCUUGAGAUUUUUCUUAUUAUCAUUUGGCAUCAUUAAGGUUUUAAAUAUAUCACUUACUUCCCUUAUUUUUGUUAUUUGUGAAUUUUUUUUUUAACAAUCUAAAAUAUCCUUCUACUUGUUAAAUAAAAAUACACAUAAAUCACUUUGUUUAUUUCAAGAAAACUAUCAUUUAAAAAAAUAAUAUCUAAUAGUACUACCAAAUCAUAAUGCUAUAGUCCAUAAGAAUAUGGAUUUAAAAAAUAAAAAGGUAUUUGCAAAGAAAUACACUUGAUUAAUUUAACUGUAUAUGUUCAAAAUCGAUUUCUUAUAAACUUUAUAUUUUUUCCAACUUCUUCUUAAUCAUUGCCAAAACCUUUUAAAUUAUACUGAUCAUUAUAAAAGUCAACCUAAAAUAAACAAAGAAAUGACACUCCACUCUAUCACAAUUACAAAAAAGUUAAAAAUAAACAAAAUUUAAUUUAUUAUAAAUUACAAAUAAAAAAUCACAUAAUCAUCCCAAAAAUGAGGAAGACAAAAAAUUGGAGGAAAGAGAAAAAGAAGAAAGUGACAUUUUUUUCUUUUUUAUUUAAUUUUGAUCUCCAUUUAUUUGAUAUGUGAAUUAUAUAUUAAUUGAGGAUUAGUAUAGUCUUUUGCAAUUAUUAGGAGAGGUAAGUGAUUAUUUUUAAAACUUCAAGCGCGGAAAGUGAUAUUAGGAUAAAGCUCAAGGGAGGUCUCUGAUAUUAUCCCUUAAAGAAAACAAAAAAAUAAAAAGAGGAAGAACUUUUUUAAAAUUAUUUUUUAACCUCUUUUCAAAUCUAUGUAAAGUUCUAGAACAUGGUAGUAAGGUCUCCCGAUUCUUGCGGUGAAAGUGCUUACGUGUCAUCAUUUCCGUGGGGCCUCCAGCAACACUACGGCUACAUCUACGCAGCUGUGCUGGUAAAUCCAAAUUAGCCCCCAAUGCAAAUGGUAGUAAAAAUUUUCACUCAUCACACUCCCUGUCUGUGCCCCCGGUAAAAAAAUCUCCUCCUGCAAAGUGAGUGCAGUGCAAGAAACGGGGGGAAAAAAAUCCUCUUGAACCAAAAAAAAAAAAAAAAAAAAACGCAGGAGGUGAUCAUGGAUAUUGGAGAAGAAAAUAUUUUGGGUUUUGGAUAGAUCCUUCGAUAAUUUCCCUUCAAUUUUACUUACAAUUUGUUCUGCAAUUUGCCACGCUCUGCUUUGAACUUUCCUUUUGCCUCUUCCCGAUAAGAAGUUCAAAUUUUUUCCUAGCCUAUUAGACAUUGUUGAAGUCAAGAUGUACCACGUUUAACUUCGGUUGGUUUUUCUUGUUUAGACCAUAAUUGGUACUCGGGAAUCCUGAGAAGGCAAAAACUUUCUGCCUUCUUAGUGGAAAAAGCUUUUGCUUUUGGCGAUGGUGUAUCUUGCAGGUUGAGAAUGUGUUGAAGGGCGGUGCAAUUGAGUUUCAGGUCAUAGCACCACAAUAUUACAAAUCCUUGUGCUUUGUUUACUACUAUCGAUGUAAGGGUUCUGCCUCAUUUCCUUGUACUCAGUCCCUUCAGGCUAAAUUUUGGUUCUUGAUUUGUGACAGAAUAUUCUUGGGUUCUUGGUUCUGACGUGAUAAAUUGUUGUUUGUGGAUUGAUAGGUUUCUGGAAUUUUAACGUGUUGUAUGGUUUUGUCAAGUGGUUGACUAAUUAGGCAGUUGAAGAACCAAACUUCGUGAUUGUUGUGGUGGGCUCUUAAAAAAUUGAGAACUUUACCGCUUGAUAUACAGGGGAGGAUUAUCUAUUGGAGCAGCUGCAAUGUCGAUUGCCAGUGUGGCUCUUGCUCCUGUUUAUGAAGAUUAUUGGAACUUUCCUGGUCGUGUCUUGGGUAGAAAUGGGGCGUUUUCAAAUGAAUCCAUCGUAAUUUUCCUUGCAAUUGGAGGGUCUGUGAUUCCUAUGCAGGUAAUGGGGUCUGAUUCUAUUGCUUCUGUAAAGCUCAGGAUACAGAACCGUAAGGGAUUUUUUGUGAAGAAUCAAAAACUUGUCUUUGAUGGGAAAGAAUUAUCGCGGAAUAAUUCCCGUGUUCAGGACUAUGGGGUCACUGAUGGGAAUGUGUUGCAUUUGGUCCUUAGGCUAUCAGAUCUCCAGGCGAUUACUGUUAGAACUGUUUGUGGGAAAGAGUUUGAGUUCCAUGUUGGAAGAAAGAGAAAUGUGGGCUAUGUGAAACAGCAGAUUGCUAGAAGCGGGAAUGAAUUUCUCGAUCUCAAGGAUCGGGAGUUAGUAUGUGAUGGUGAGGAACUAGAAGAUCAGAGGCUCAUUGAUGAUAUUUGUAAGAGCAAUGAAGCAGUAAUACACUUGCUUGUCCGUAAGUCAGCAAAAGUUAGAGCUAAGCCUGUUGAAAAAGAUUUUGAAGUCUCGAUUGUUGCAUCAGAAGUUGAUAAGAGUAGGAGGGUUGACUCAGUAGAUGAGAGAAGUUCUGAGGAGGAAUCAUUAGUUGAGAAACUUCCAGUUGCUGCCAUAAAGCCUUUGGAGAAAGAAUUCUUUUUGGAACCACUAGUAGUCAAUCCAAAUAUUACGCUAUCAUCUGUGAUUAAGCAACUUGUUGAUGCCACUUACCAUGGACUGGAGAAGGGUAAUCCACCGAUUAUGUCGUCUGAGGGGUCAGGGGGUGUUUAUUUCAUGCAAGAUUCAUCUGGUCAGCAGUAUAUUUCUGUAUUUAAGCCAGUUGAUGAGGAACCCAUGGCUGUAAACAACCCUAGAGGGGUUCCCUUGUCCGUCAAUGGUGAAGGGUUGAAAAAAGGGACACGAGUUGGUGAAGGGGCUGUAAGGGAAGUUGCAGCAUACAUCUUGGAUCAUCCGAAGGGUGGACAAUGCUCGUAUCUUAAGAAUGAGAAAGGCUUUGCUGGCGUUCCCCCAACUGUGAUUGUCAAGUGUCAACAUGAAGCAUUCAAUUAUUCUGAGGGCUUUCACCCAUCCUAUAAGAAUACCAAGGUUGGAUCACUCCAAUUGUUCAUGGAGAACUGCGGCAGUUGUGAGGACAUGGGGCCCCGUAAUUUUCCUGUGGAUGAAGUACACAAGAUUUGUGUUCUGGAUAUUAGGUUAGCAAAUGCAGACAGGCAUGCUGGCAACAUCUUGGUUUGCAAAGAUUCGGGAGAAGGUCGGAUUAACCUCGUUCCAAUUGAUCAUGGCUACUGCUUGCCUGAAAAUGUAAGCACAUCGAACUUUCUACAUGACGACUUGAUAUAACUUAUUGUAACCAUUUGAAAUUUUAAGGACGCUAAAGGCAGGGGUUACAUUGGGUGCUUUGGGAGUUAAUUCACCUAGAAAGUGUCAUGUGUUCUGUACUAUCAUAAGCAUUUGAGGUUAAUGAUGGUGUCCCGAUGCCCGUGUUAAUUGGAAAUUAAAUCCGAGGCUACAUCCUGUUCCAACUUCCAAAACAUAUAAGUGUCAGAUUUUGAUGUUACACUCUGGUAACAAGUAGUUUCCUGAGAAAGGUGCCUAGUUUUUUUUGUGCAGAGAUACUUAAAGUCGGUAGCUUUAGGACAAAAGUUCAUUUGAAAGAAGUCUAGUAUAUUUUGCAUCGUACUUUUAUGGGUACGGCAACGACCAAUAGUGAGAUUUCCAUUCGUGAGGGUUUUAGAUUACCUUGAUCAUUGUCAUUGUUUUGAGGUUUAUUUCUUUCCCAUCCUGUGUUUCUUCUUUCUGAUUUGUAUUGUUCUUCCAUUGGUUUGCGUUUUUUCUUGUUGUUUCCUUGCUGCAGUUCAAAGACUGCACCUUUGAUUGGCUCAAUUGGCCUCAAGCACGCCAACCGUUUUCGCCAGAGAUAAUUGGCUACAUAAACUCGCUUGACGCUGAGAAAGACAUUGAGCUUUUGAGGCUGCAUGGAUGGGAACUUCCAUUUGAUUGCGCGCGCAUCCUUCGCAUCUCCACCAUGCUGCUGAAAAAAGGCGCAGAGAGAGGGCUUAAUGCAUUUCUAAUUGGAAGCAUCAUGUGCAGGGAAACACUGAAGAAGAAAUCGGCUCUUGAGCAAAUUGUCCGAGAAGCACAAGGAGCUGUGCUUCCUGGAAUGAGCGAAGCAGCAUUCCUCGAGUCGGUGUCAUUGAUCAUGGAUCGUUACCUUGAUGGCAUGUCUGCAAGUAAAUAUGUAGGUAGGUAGAAUGUACGUAGAUAGAACAUUGUGACUGGUCGAAUGGAGGACGGACGGCCAAGGAUGCUGCUUAAUCUCUCUGUUCAUCCAUGGUAGUCCUACAUCGCGACCCUAUAACUUUGUUGCGCUUAACUCCGCUCUGUUUAUCCCAUAUCCCCACCCCUGAUGUCCUGGAACUUGUUGCCAUAUCCUGCGCUCCUCUUUUGAGCAUUAUGACUGUUGAAACUGAGAAUUGAAAGCAUCACUUUCCUUGUAAAAGUCUCGUCAAAUUUUUGUUCUUUCAAGUGCCGUUGUUUUCUCUGAUUGAGAGGAGUCCACCAAUUUAGCUGGUAUUUGUUGGUCACGAAGGAAUCUAAUUACCAUGAAGAAUAAUCCCCCCAUUUGAAUUUUCAAAAUUUUUUGGGUUUUUUUUUAAUGGGUGUUUUAUAAGUAUUUGUCAACACAUCUACAUUUUAGUCAACUUAUCAUGUAUAUAAGUACACUAAUAAUUAAUCCUCUUAUAUUUAUAUGAUUUUUUUAAUUAAUUUUAUAUUUUUAAAAGUCUAACGCUUGAAAUACAUUCUAGCAGUGUUUAUAGGACUCUGAUUAGAUAGUUUUUUUUUUUUUACACCAAUUCUUUCUUCUGCGGAUCUAAGUCACUCUUAACAAAAAUGAAAAAAAAAAAUAUAUAUAUAUAUAUAUAUAUUUCCUCCGUUACGACAAAGCCAAAUGAGCCCCUGCAUGAAUGAUCCAGCGGUAGCGCCUCUCACCGGUGAUCCUUAGGUCUCAAGUUCGAGUUUUCGCUCCGCUGGAUUCCUCCGCGCACUUAUCACGUUCGGGUCUAGUUGGGACGUCGGAUCCGGAUCGCAGAAAAUUAAUAGGACUCCGUAAGGAUUGACCCGAACGCCCCUGUGUAAACGAGACUUCGCAUAAACUUGGAGGGGAAAAAGCCUUUGUGAGAACGGAUUUUCUGGUAAAUGCCCUUUCAUUUUGCAGCCCAAAAUCACCGUUAGCUUUAUGCAUUAAUUCGAGUGGAAAUGGCUGUUUCAAAUCGGACCAGACAGACACAGACAUGCGCGCUUUUACCCAUAAACCAAAAUUGAUUUGUGGUUAUAUCACUCAUUUUUCAACUGAAGUUGACGUAAUUGUCGGAUCGGAUGAGCCUUGUCACAAAAAAAAGGUCGAGUCCGAGAGAGAGAGAACAUUUUGGGCGCGGCGCACUUUUAAUUUCAACCAGGACUCGCCCACCUAUAAUUGGUUUUAAGCAUUUACUUUUUGGGAUCCCUUGCCACCGACACAGGCAUCAGCAUCAGCACUACUGUUUCUAAGUCAGCAUCACCCAACCCCCCGCCCCCCCCCCCGGGGGAUCUCUUCUGCCUCUUGGAAGAGAGAAUCCAAGGCAGCCAUUUUUUUUUUUAGUGAAAAUUAUAUUUUUUUUCAUGAACAUAUUUUUUUAUUAUUUUUUUUAUAUACAUCAAAUUAUUACAGUAAUUUUUUUAUCAAAAAAAAUUCUAAAAAAUACAAUCUAAACACAAUUUUAAUAUAUAAUAAUAUAAUAUAAUACAGCGGUAUCAGUAGCUGUCAUGAAAAUUACACAGCUGAAUGAAUGAAUCCCCUUUUUGCUCUUGCAAUCUUUUUGCAUUUAUUUUUUCACACUUAGUGGGGUUUUGAGAAUUACAUUCAGUACCAGUAUAUAAUAAGUAACAUUACAGGGCAAAUGAUAAAUAAAUUUUGAACAGUUAUUUUAAUUAAUUUAACCUAAAACCUAUCCAUCUUGAGCCAUACAGAACUCGAUUUACUUUAUUAGUCAUAAUAUGCAUAACGGGAAAAAAAAAAAAAAAAAGUAGAGUGGGUAGGGAACCGACCACAUAAAAUAUAUAGGAAGACGCCACGAUCCUUCCAAUGAACGGACGAGGGUUUGGAGUAAAAACGUACAGUAACUGGCAUCCUCUUUUAAGUUGAUAGGCCGGCCAUAAAAGCAACACCGGUUGAGGGUAGCCACGACGAUCCAAAGAUGAACUGUGCAACUGUGAACUUGCUGGCCUCCGCCGGCGUCGUGAUCACUCGAUAGCCCGGCCACUUUACUCGCUGUCCAAGGGCUGCUCCCGGUCCGUAGUUCAUGUACUCGCCAUAGUACAGAGUGUCGAGAGCGAACGUUGCGUUCCAUUCCAGAAAUCCCCUCGGGUGAAUAUGGUCGCCCAUGUAGGAUAGCAUGAAGACCGUUCGCGAGUACAGUUUCCACGGGCGGCCUAGGUACGUCUGGAAGCUGCCUUUUGAUGCCUCAAGAUCAGGCGUCGCCAGGAUUCUGCAUGCAUGAACAGAAAUCCCGGUGUUUUGAUUAGGGUCUUUUCUGUUUUGGGCAGUGACGGUGUUUUUCUGGAGGUUCAUCGGCUUGCGAGCGUUUAGAGUGCAGUUCUGGAACACAACCGCAGCAUUACCGAAUAUGAAGUCCACCGUCCCAUAGACGUCGCAUUCUCGGAAAAAUUGACGCUGUGAGUGGACGUAGAGGGUGUCUUGGUAGCCGACGAUGCUGCAGCGGUAGACCACAGCAUGAUCGGCGCCCACUCGAAGAGCUACAGCCUGAUGCUUACUUGGACCAGCCCAGUUCUCAAAGGUCAUGUCUCUUGCAAUAAAGCCAGCGCCAGUAGCCGCUGUGCGCAGCAGCAGACAAAGACAGAUAGAUAGAGAGUAAAUAAAAAAAUUGCAUUGCACAUUUGCACUAGAAGUUAAGUUGGAACUUCCUCCUUGGAAGCAGGACAAGGAAGAGAGCUGUACGGGGGGUGGAAAAUAAUUGGAAUCUUUUACCAAAACUGAAGUACGUGGGUAGGACAAGAAGAGAGUACGCAUAAGAACUACUUUGCUUGAAUAUCUAUCGACUCUAUAGUCUAUACUACACAAUUCAAUGAUCCAAAAACGCGUAAGUUGACGAUUGAUGUCCACAACCAGCAUGCGUGUUACUAGUAUGACAGUAUGGGAUAUGCCCCACAACUCCCAUAAUAAUAUAAUAUUAUGUUGAGGCCACCAACAUCACUAUCCUCAUAGUAUUCUACUAGUACCAGACAAGUGUGCAGUAAUUCCAAGUAGACGACGUUGAAGAUGGGAAAGGCAGCUUUUUCAAAAUUUAACAUAUCGUACUGUCCAGCCAGCAUGGGAAAGUUCCAAGUUUUCAAGCGUCCACAAAAAAAAAAAAAAAAUAGAAGAACAUUUACUUUUAGCUGAAAAUGUUGAGACGCUACUAACAUUUAAUUUAAUUGUUGUAUCCUCUUAUUCAAUCUGUUUGGAUUGUAAGUUAUUUGGGAUUAUUUGGGAUAUUUUUACUGUAACAUUUUUUGUGAUAUGAUGUAUGUGAGAUAAAAAGAUAUUAGAAACAUAAAAAGAUGUAUUGAAAAUUGUAAAAAUGAUGUAAGCAAAUAAAAUUGAGGAGAGAAAAUAUGAAGCAAUCCAAACAAACCUAAUAAUGUAUACCAUCUAAGCAUAUGGAUGGGUAGUAGUGACCAAACAAGGGUCAAGGUGUUGACUACAAAUCUUUCGUCAUACAAUGCAUGAGCUAAGCUAUAAACAAGUGUAAACGGUAUCGGCCCGAUUCUAUGGGCAAAAGCCACACAAACAAAAAAGUUAAAAAAGCGACCUUAAAUUGAAAAAAAAAAAAAAAAGAAAAAAGAAAGAGAGAGAGGACACGUGCAUCGUUUCCUUCUUCUUCCACAACACUCAUUUGGCACAUCGGUGGUAUCUGAUGCCCCCUUUUUUGUUUUCCGCCACACACAAAAGUUUGAUUCUAAGCUACUGCUACUAAGUACUAACUAAAUAAGCGCUUCAAAUUUCUGCCCUCAAUGUGUGUGUGUGUAUGUAUAUAUAUAUAUAUAUAUAUAUAUAUAUAUGUGUGUGUGUGUGUGUAUAUAUAAAGUAAAGCAAGCCAAAGACGCCUUUUACUACGUACUAAUUACCACAGCUUAAGAGAAAAAAUAAUAAUAAUUGAAAGAACACAAAAGGCCGUUGGUUUUUACAUACCGAAAGACGCGGUGUGGAAUGUGGUGACUUUGUCGAAAAUGCUCUUUCCGCCUGAAAUCACCGUCUUGCCUUUUCCAUCCCCGAUGAACAUCAAAUUCGUCUUCUUCCUUCCAACUUUCAAAUUAUCCUCCUCGUACCUGAAAGAUGACAAAUGUUGAACAAUUAAUUAAUAUGACUGUCGGUGGUGGUGUCAUAUUAAUUAAUCUCACAAACGUAUACAAUUAAUUAAUAUUAAAUAUUAAAUCUUGUCGGUGGUGGUGUCACAAUUUCCCGCCACUCUUUGCAGCAAAUGAUGAUUCAUUGAACACAAAAAUUUUUUUUUUUUUUUUUUUAAAAAAAAGAGAGUAAUAGAGCACUAUUCAGCGUGUGACGGUGCCAGCAACAAAUAGCCAAUUGAUGGCAACCAUAGUAGUCAUUAAUCACCAAAGAGAAAAAAAAGGCAGCAACUAUAAAGUGGGUGAAAAGGUCACACUACUUGCUGAAAAAAGAAAAAAAAGAAAGAAAAGGGCAUUUGUGAGAGUAGAUCUCAUCCCACGUGAAGGUGAAACUUGAAAGUGAACGAACUUACUUUCCUGCCUUGACGUAGAUAAUGAUCCGGCGAGUGCUGUGCUCUGGCGCCUUCUUGAUCGCCUCCCCCACUGUUUUCACCGUUCCGUUCCCGUCUUUCGACACUAUUAUAUCCGCUUGAAUCGACGUCGCCGGCACCUGCAACAACCUUCGGUCCUUCCUCGGUAACCAUUUCGGAAACUCCUCCUCCUGCUGUUUAUGGUUACCACCAUAACCUUCCUCAUCAUCGCCCAUCAACCUCCGACGCCUGUUCCCUAUCGGAAUCCCUGAGAAAUCAUCACCGUCUCCCCCCGCCGCCGAGUAUAUCGCCAGGCAGUUGCUCACCAGUUCCGUCAGGUCCUUCAGCUUCUCCGACACCUGAUCCUUCACGCUCCCGCCUCCGACUUCCCCAAAGCCCUCCGUGCACGUGUCCUGGUUGGUCAGAGCGGCGCUCAGCCACGUCAGCACGUCCUGUGUGGACCCCACGUAGGAGGAUGAGGAUGAGGAUGAGGAGCCUGAGCCGUCCCCUUCUCCUUCGGUCGAGGCGGGUGACAUGGUGGUGAGGGAGCGGGCGAGCAGGUCGACGGAGUCCGCCAAGAGCUCCAGGCAGUCGUCGUAGGCGGAGCGGGAGCCCACGUCCAUGGCCACGUAGCCGAUGUCGGAGACGUCGUAGAGCGCCUUCCCCAAGCGCUGGAGCGUCAUGUUGACGGUAAUGUGGACGAGGUCCUUGUCGGAGGCGGUGAGCGCGCCGGGGAAGUCGAGGAGGGAGUCGACGCAGAGAGCCGGGUAGCGGGUUUUGCUGCAGGUGCGAGAGAUGGCUCUGGAAGGCUUGCGGUGGAGGGCGGCAUCGCUGGAGGCUUUGUUUCGGAGGGCGACAACCACCGCCGCCGAAAUGGCUGAGGCCACGAUGAGAAUGGCGGCCAGUAUGAUGAGGGGCUUGAGUUUGCUUUUCCGGGGAGUGGAAGUGGUGGGUUGGUCCGAGGGGUCGGGAAGCAUUUGGCGGCUGGAGGAGCCUCCGGGCUCCGAAACGAGCCUGCCGUAGCCCAUGCCUGCUUUUUGCUCGUACUACAAUUUUGGCUGCUGAUUAUAUAAACACCAAUUAUUAAGUCACUCACUCAAAGAUGCAGAACUCUUGGAUAGCAAAAUGCAAAUUAUGCGAUGGGUUGGAGGCGAAAUGAAUGGAAUGUAUUCAAGUGGAAGGAAAAAAAGCCGCUAUUAAGACUCGGGACUUGAGAGAGGCGUGGGGGGAGAUAACUGAGAGUAAGAGGGUGGCAGGCUUUAUAUAUUUUCCCGCAUCCCAGCUUGGGCGGUUGGAUAUAGUAGUAUUUUGUCAAGUACUAGCAUACUACUAUUAAUUAUCGUAAUCCCUAUACAUACUUAUGCUGAGAGUCAGUGCGGGUUCUUCUGUGUGGGUGUGCGCGCGCGAGAGAGAGAGAGAGAGAGAGAGAGAGUUUGGUGUGAGGUCGAUGUCGAGGGGGGCAUUAGCUGGCUUCUACUUCCUCCGCCACACUGCUGCCUUGCCCGCUCGCUUAUUAGUUAUUACAGUGGAGAGUGGGAUGUGGAUUGAGAAGGAAAGGAGAGGUCUGAGGGGGACGUGUUGUUAUUGGCUUGCUUGUUCUGUGCUUUUUUCUGCUUUCUUCAAAACUUUUUCAUAUUAUUAUUGACUCUGCUGUUGUUUUCGUUUCCUUUGUUAGCAGGGAGUAUGCAUCAUAUUAUUAUUAUUAUUUUACUGUCGUCCGAAUGAAAAAAAAUACAGAAAGAAAGAGCAGUAUGUAAUGUCGGAAGGAAGAAAGAAUGAAUUGUUAACUAACGUAUUGGUUUAUUCCUCUACCCUAACCCUUGACUCUCUUGGCCCCUCAACUUUAGGCCUGAGGUUUCAUUCCUUUUUCUCACCGUCCCACCGAGAGAAUAGAAUAUUUUCUUUGCUACUGUAAAGUAAAGCUAUUUUAAAAUACGAUACUCCUCUUCCCGUAGUUUAAACUGGCCUUGUCCUUGCUGCCAAUCCAAACACACCCAGUGGGUAGAUCGAAAUGUAGCUCGCGUAGCGUUGUCACAAGGGUCGAAAAGGGCCAAAAAAAAAAAUGGGAGAAAGUGAUGAAUUAUGGUGUCUACCCUUUUUAGUGCCAAACUAAGGUCUUGUUUGGGGGAGAAAGUGAUGAAUUAUGGUGUCUACCUUUUUGAGUGCCAAUCUAAGGUCUUGUUUGACAAGUAAGUUUUUGGCUAUAUUUGUCCGCUACUCCCUCCGUUCCACCUUGAUAGUCCUGUUUCUUUUUUCACACAGUUUAAGAAAAAGUAGUUAACUUUGUUGGAAAAGUAAAUUUAGAUUAUUAUUUUCCUAAAAUAUCCUCGCAUUAAAUAUGGUACAACUUUAUGGGAACUUGAAUUGAUGGUAAAAAAAGAAUCAACUCUCAUUAAAUGGGGUAAGUUUAUAGUAACAACUACUUACAUUGAAUAGGGGCAUUUUAAGAAAAUUAAAAUACAACUACAUUUUUCAAUUGGAAAGUGGACUAUAAUUUGGGACAAAUAAAAAAGGAAUACAGGACUAUCAAAGUGGGACGGAAGAGAGUACAAGUUUUUUUUAACAAAUUUAGCUACAAUAACCUCAAAAAAAAUUUCAAAGUUUUUAAACUAUACAUUUUAAAAUAUCAAAAAAUUUACACAUUUUAAAAAAUUUUUAGAUAAACAUCCAAAAAACUCAAUUGCCAAAUAGGGCCUAAAUUAGGGUGCAUGUGCGGCUUAAAUGUUGGAAUCUGCAGGCAAUCCAGUUCCAUAAACUAAAGCAAAUUGUUGGAAUUUUGGACUAAACAAGAGAGUGUGUUGCAUUAACGGAGGCGGGAAAGAGAAAAUCAAUUUUGGCUAGAAUUUGUACAUAGAUAUCCAUCGUUCUCAGACAAAGAGCAGAUGAAUUUCAAAAUCUCGGGCCCAGUUUCACAAUAGUCAAAUUCUAGGAAAUCGCAUGCACUUCAUCAAGUCAUGCACUUGAUUUUUCAUCAGUUGGGGAUGAUAGAGAAAGGAAGAAACGGAAUUAAGGAAGCAAUCAAUAUACAAGCAAAUCUCGGACUCCUUUAUUCCUUUAUAGCAUGAAAUUUGAUUGAUUACCCACUGUAGUAUAUGGUUUACGAAUGGGAUUUGAUUACUCUAAUGCCAAUUAGAUGUAACACUUUAAGUACUUCACUUUGAUACCA